UUCGGAUUGUAGUCUGCAACCCGACUACAUGAAGCCGGAAUCGCUAGUAAUCGCAGAUCAGCAUGCUGCGGUGAAUACGUUCCCGGGUCUUGUACACACCGCCCGUCACACCAUGGGAGUCGGAAAUGCCCGAAGUCGGUGACCCAACCGGAAGGAGGGAGCCGCCGAAGGCAGGUCUGAUAACUGGGGUGAAGUCGUAACAAGGUACC
rnacentral:rRNA from 1 species